AUGGUCAGACUGAAACGGAUGGUCAGACGGAUGGUCAGACUAAAACGGAUGGUCAGACGGUCAUAACAGUAAACCCAGGUCCCUGAACCGAAUCUAGGGGUUGAUUCAUGUGCUCAAGCUGAAACAUUUCGAAAUGCUCAUCCGCUGCUCGAUCAGACCAUCACAUCGAAUGUAUAUCAGUGUCAUCACUAAGAUUAUUUACAGAAAAGCGUUACUGUCCAAAGACGCUCCGCUCCGUCUCUGAAAACGUAGAGCUCCAUCGGACACUGGGCUGGCGAGCCUUAAGCUGCGUUGGGCUAGAAAUCAGAAGAAAGUGACAUCUUACCGCUGACUUUAUUGGUCUCAGCUGACCUUCUCCUGCAUUGAAACAAGGAUAAGCAUCGCCACGCAGCUCUUUGGAUCUGUCUUACCUUUGCUUGCUCUUUGGCCAAAGGAGCUAUAGGCGCUAUACUAUUGUCCAAACAUCCGAGCACGGUAAGAACCAACAGCACGAAACAAUUAAAAAAAAUAAAAAAUCCAUCCUCUCCCUAGUGAGCGCAAGAGGCAAAUCCUUAACCACAAGAGCUCAAAAUGGAAGAGAUGACACACCAUUAGACGUGACGAAAAGAAGCUCCUCUUUCUUCUCUUGCACAGCUACUCCUCUUCCUCUCGCCAAUGUUCCGCCAGAUCUUGUUUGCCACUCUGAAGGGCCCAGCCACUUCAAUUUGAGCCCACACCUUAGCAACUUCCUUCCAUUUUGCUAGCUGAAACCGGACUUGGCUGCUUGCUCUAAACCCUAAACUCUGUCCUUUCUUUCCCCUUAUCUUUCUGACCGUUGACUAUCUUGACCAUA
rnacentral:lncRNA from 1 species